UACGUAGGGAGCGAGCGUUGUCCGGAUUUACUGGGUGUAAAGGGUGCGUAGGCGGCUUUUUAAGUCAGGUGUGAAAACCGUGGGCUUAACUCACGGAUUGCAUUUGAAACUGAGGGGCUUGAGUGGAGCAGAGGCAGGCGGAAUUCCCGGUGUAGCGGUGAAAUGCGUAGAGAUCGGGAGGAACACCAGUGGCGAAGGCGGCCUGCUGGGCUUUAACUGACGCUGAGGCACGAAAGCAUGGGUAGCAAACAGGAUUAGAUACCCUGGUAGUCCAUGCCGUAAACGAUGAUUACUAGGUGUGGGUGGUCUGACCCCAUCCGUGCCGGAGUUAACACAAUAAGUAAUCCACCUGGGGAGUACGACCGCAAGGUUGAAACUCAAAGGAAUUGACGGGGGCCCGCACAAGCAGUGGAGUAUGUGGUUUAAUUCGAAGCAACGCGAAGAACCUUACCAGGUCUUGACAUCUACCUGAUUCUUCAGAAAUGAGGGAGUGCCCUUCGGGGAAAGGUAAGACAGGUGGUGCAUGGUU
rnacentral:rRNA from 1 species